CCUACGGGUGGCAGCAGUGAGGAAUAUUGGUCAAUGGACGCGAGUCUGAACCAGCCAAGUAGCGUGAAGGAUGACGGCCCUAUGGGUUGUAAACUUCUUUUAUAUGGGAGUAAAAUGUUCCACGUGUGGGAUUUUGUAUGUACCCUAUGAAUAAGCAUCGGCUAACUCCGUGCCAGCAGCCGCGGUAAUACGGAGGAUCCGAGCGUUAUCCGGAUUUAUUGGGUUUAACGGGAGCGUAGGUGGAUUGUUAAGGUAGUUGGGAAAGUUGGCGGCUCAACCGUGAAAGUGCAGUUGAAACUGGCAGUCUUGAGUACAGUAGAGGUGUGCGGAAUGCGUGGUGUAGCGGUGAAAUGCUUAGAUAUCACGAAGAACUCCGAUUGCGAAGGCAGCUCACUGGAGUGCAACUGACACUGAGGCUCGAAAGUGUGGGUAUCGAACAGGAUUAGAUACCCGAGUAGUC
rnacentral:rRNA from 1 species